GAUGAACGCUAGCGGCAGGCCUAACACAUGCAAGUCGAACGGUAACAGGAAAAGCUUGCUUUUUGCUGACGAGUGGCGCACGGGUGCGUAACGCGUAUACAAUCUACCUUUUACAGGGGGAUAGCCUUUAGAAAUGAAGAUUAAUACCCCAUAGAAUAUAUAGAUGGCAUCAUUUAAAUAUUAAAGUUUCGGCGGUAAAAGAUGAGUAUGCGUUCUAUUAGCUAGUAGGUGUGGUAACGGCACACCUAGGCGACGAUAGAUAGGGGCCCUGAGAGGGGGAUCCCCCACACUGGUACUGAGACACGGACCAGACUCCUACGGGAGGCAGCAGUGAGGAAUAUUGGACAAUGGGCGGAAGCCUGAUCCAGCCAUGCCGCGUGCAGGAAGACUGCCCUAUGGGUUGU
rnacentral:rRNA from 1 species